GACCGAUGUCCUAUCUGGUGGGCAUCGCAGCUCUCGAGCUUUCCUUCUCGCAGCCACUUGCUUCUCUUUCCUUGCCCUGAGUGGCCAGUUCUGCGGCUUAAGGGAAAGGGCGGCUCCAGUCCAGCCUAAAGGACCCUCCCCCACUGCUUCUCCGCUCUCCCCAUAUCAGCCUCGCCUAGGGGGUUGGGAUGCAGACUGCUCUUGGUGAAGUGCUCGCGGUGGCUCUGACCCUUGGCGUUCCAUCAGCCUGUGCUUGGCAUUCCUUUCGCUUGGCCUUAGAAGAGUUCAAGGGCACAAGGAAAUAAUUAGUGCACGACUUUCAGCCAAAACGAACUGAGUUCUUACUGUGAGCCGAGCGCUGUCAGUGUGCAUUACUCGAUAAAUGAUCCUUCGAGCGCGACGAGGGGAAUAUUAGUUCGCCUUUUACGCUGAUAGCUGAGGCAAAGUGACCGGAGGAAAUAGGAUUGGAGUCAGGACUCCACCUCUCGCGCUUGUCAAACUGGGAAUUAGAGCUAGCUGUAGAGCUAGCUGAACAAGGAUUACAGGGAAGUUUCGUUAACCUUACUUGGAACGUCAGUUAGGUCUGUAGAUUUGAAGAAAUUCGUAUUUAUUGUGGACACUAAAACAUAUUUAUUAUUGAUUGCAUACAGAAGUUACCGGGAUAUUUAAAACAGCGUGAACAUCAAAUAGAAUUUUAUGGGGGAUGGGUUGUUUGGUUGGCUGGUUGAUUUAUUUAAUGUCGUUGCUGCUAAUCUCUGCCCUCUGGCGGUAUAAAUUGACGUAGCUUUUUAACAAUACUUGGUCCCUUUCUCCCGGCUCCCAGCAAUUGUGAAGCUAUUGAGACUUAAAAUUGCCAGAAAAAUUCUUUAACCUGAAUAUCAUUCAGCUUUUUAGAGAGGAGGAGACACUUACAAAUUCAUUAGUUAAUUUAACUUUACAAAUAUUGAGGACACUCUGCCUGUAUGCAGUGUUUGGAACUAGAUAGACCUGGCCUCAACUCUUAUCAUUGGCUAGCUUUGAUCCUGGAUGGUAUGACUUCUGUAAGACUUAUUCCCCUUUUGCAGAGACGGAGGUGAUAUAUAAAUAAACCGAGUUAAUCUGGGUAAAGCAAAUAGGACAGUGCUUGGCACAUAAUGGGUGUUUAAUGAAUAUUCAUCAUUAUCACCAUCACUGCUUAAUAUACUUACAAAUAACUGAUUUUUCUACAAGUAUGUGUGUAGACUGUUGGCUCUUUGGUGUUACUCGUUUUGCUAGAAGCAGUGUUAUCCAUGGUGCUUAAUAACUAAGGAGAGUUACAGAAGCAUUGUACUCUGUGAUGAGAGUUUACUUUCCUUCCCUGGUAAGGGGCUAGCCCGAGACGAAAGUUUAAAAGAAAUUUUAAACUUGCUCUACGCCUCCUUCUGUACUACAUCUCUCCUAUAAGCAUCAGGCACUAUCAUGUUGCCCUUAGCAACUACCAGGGUUAGCCCAUCAAGCUCAGUCCUAUUCCCCAAGGAAUUUUAACAUUACCUGUUUCUCUUUAUCCACUUUCAAACAUCCAUUUCUUUGGUAGAAAAUUAGGUGUUUGGGAGGAGGAAAUCGGCUUCUUUUGCUAUUAAAUGACUAACUAGUGGUAUCAAAAUCCUCCCAGAAAUACAUAGAGUUUUCAAGAGGGUAGCCAACUAAAAAAAGGUAAUGUAGAACAAAAAUUUUAGAGGAUGAGGGUCACUUAGACCUGCCAACCUAUCCUAAAACCUCACCUUCUUUUCAUACAACUCCAACUCUUAAAAAAAAUUACAUUUAUUACCUGUAAUAUGUUUCUGAAACUACAAGAAAUGGAGAAAUUUUGAGUUCCUUUCCUGUACCCUACCCCUUUAGUUCUGAUACUUGCAGGAGGACAUAAAGGGAUGGCAUGCUUGACUUUGAGAGGCUGGAGUGGCAAUAAUUGUUCCUGCGAAUCUUGAGUACAUUAGAUGUUUGAAUUUACUGUGUUUUUUUUCCCCCGUGAGUUGCCCAAUUUUUUUUUUACCUGCAAUCCCUUUUGCUUAUAGGUGAAAUAAGCAAUUUUUAUCUACAGUAUAUAGGUUAUAUGUUUUUC